rnacentral:rRNA from 1 species
UACGUAGGGCGCAAGCGUUGUCCGGAAUUAUUGGGCGUAAAGAGCUCGUAGGCGGUUUGUCGCGUCUGCUGUGAAAGACCGGGGCUCAACUCCGGUUCUGCAGUGGGUACGGGCAGACUAGAGUGCUGUAGGGGAGACUGGAAUUCCUGGUGUAGCGGUGAAAUGCGCAGAUAUCAGGAGGAACACCGAUGGCGAAGGCAGGUCUCUGGGCAUUAACUGACGCUGAGGAGCGAAAGCAUGGGGAGCGAACAGG